UUUAUGUGGACCAUUGGGGUAUUUAGAAUUACCCUAAUUAUUCAAAGGCUGCUUAAAAUAAUUGAAACGCUUUUAUAUUCCACUAUCACUAUUCACUAGAGCAUUAAACUAUCAACUGCUUACUGCUUCAAAAAAACGAUGAAAAGUGAAACCUCUUGUUGCUCAAUUAACCAAUAACUGCUUCGUCGCCCUACCGCCUUACCAUCGCCCCAUCUCCCCACCAUCGUUCUACCGCCCCACCGUCGUCCCACCACCAAACUAUUGAACGUCUACUUCACCGCACCGCACCGCACCGCUCCGCUACACCACCACUGCACUUUCCAGUAUCUGCUCGAGACCUGCUGAAAAAGGGGUGGUAAAGUCUGUUGGGAAGGGUCGAUAUUUGGCUUGGGUGGGAUCAAGAGAGAUCACCUUGGUGAUGUUAUGGCAGCAACUUGUUGUUUACAGCAUGGGUGUUUCGAGGUUAAUAUUGCUGAAGCUCUUGCAGCAAGACAUUGCCUGACCAUUGCUUUGGAUGCAAGACUGCGUGAUUUAGUGCUAGAAACUAACUGCAGCAAGUUGUACCAGUAUUUACUGCAUGGGAAAUGUGAAACUUCAGCCUUUGGUGUUAUUGUUAGUGAUAUUCUUCUCUUGGCUAGCUCUUUCUUUAGUAUUUCUAUUUCACAUGUUGGUAGAGAUGGAAAUUGUGCUGUGUUUUUAUUAGCUAGAGGUAGCAUUGAGUUUGGUGAGAUGAGAGUAUGGUUAGAAGAAGUGCCACAUUGUGCUUGUAACGCCGUGCUGCUAGAUUUAACUAGCCUGGAGUAAUAUUAUGCUCAGAUUUUUUGUCAAAAAAAAAACUUUAAUUUGCCAAUUAUUUUAGAAAAAUUGAUUUGCUUUGCUUUUCUUUUAUAAAAGGGUUGGUUAUGAGAUGUUGUGAUUGAAAUUCAAUGAUGAUUUAAUCUAAUUCUAGUGAUGUAUAAGAGUAGUCAUGGUGUUUGUGGAUUUUGGGUAGCUGAUUGUGAAGGGAGAAGAGCAGGAAAUCAGAAUCUUAUGGAAGUGAAUUUAUAAUAAUAAUAAUAAUAAGGUGGCAGAGUUGAUUAAAGGAAAAUUUCUUGUUGGUUGAUUGUGAAGAGUGGAACUUGAUACGUUAGUGGCCCUCCUUCCCUGACACUAGUAAUAUUUGUUGAUUAUAUCUGCAUCCUACUUUUGAAACUAUAACGUCAACUUAUCCAUCUCUUAACAGUUAUCAGACACUUUGGCUAAGUCAUCCAAAGAAAGACAUGGUGACAUUGCAGAAUAACAACCAUUUAUAAAGUACUCCGUUUUUCGGUCUAUAGAUUUAGGUUAUGUACAAGGAUUUCCAAAGGAUGUUUAGGAGGCUGAGUCUCAGAACCUGGUUUGUGCGAAGAAUUUGGUGAUAGACAAGAACAUCCAAACAGCAUACAUUGAAGCAAUCAGAUCUACUCAACAUUUCAUUUAUAUAGAAAACCAGUAUUUCCUUGGAUCAUCAUAUGCUUGGCCAAAUUACAAAAAUGCCGGUGCUGAUCAUUUGAUGCCAAUGGAGUUGGCCUUGAAGAUUGUUAGCAAAAUCCGAGGCAAAGAAAGAUUUGCUGUCUAAGUUGUCAUCCCUAUGUGAAUUGUAGAUCAAUAUGGUAUUGGUAUAUCUGAGCAUUAUUUUUUAAAAAUCAACAUUAACUAGAAAGGUGUUUUGAUAUUAAACUCAGGUAUUUAUUUGUAUAGAACAAAUUUUGUAUGGAUGAUUCAAUUUAAUUGUGGUUGGAUGUUUUAAAUUAUAUAUAUGAAGUAUAUUUUGAUGGCUUU